ACGGAGGGUGCAAGCGUUAAUCGGAAUUACUGGGCGUAAAGCGCACGUAGGCGGCUUUUUAAGUCAGAUGUGAAAUCCCCGGGCUUAACCUGGGCACUGCACCUGAUACUGGGAAGCUAGAAUGUGGGAGAGGAGAGUGGAAUUUCCGGUGUAGCGGUGAAAUGCAUAGAGAUCGGAAGGAACACCAGUGGCGAAGGCGGCUCUCUGGACCAACAUUGACGCUGAGGUGCGAAAGCGUGGGUAGCAAACAG
rnacentral:rRNA from 1 species